GUCGCUACUACCGACUGGCCGAAUUUUUGAGGUGUCUGGACCUGCGGUGGCACUGCUUUAUGUGGCGCUAUCGCGGGGAAAUUCCCCGGAAAUGUUCGGUUGGAGGAAGUAA
rnacentral:rRNA from 1 species